GCAGGUCCUGUUUCAAAGGGUUACAGGUUUAUGACAUGUAUUUAAGAUACAAAUACAUAGUUACGCGACACUUUCAAAGUUGACAGACAUUACAUCAAGGGUCACACAGCUCAUUUCACAGAACAGAGCAGGCCACACACUGCACAUGAAUAGCCAGGCACAGAUACCUCAGUAACGGUACUUGGUGGAGUAAUCCUUGGGAGCAAUCACCAGACCACGGCCCUUACGAG
rnacentral:lncRNA from 1 species